UACGUUGCAUGCCUUGAAGAAAGUGUAGCUAACCACCUUAUUAGUAUUCCUCCCUCCACUGUGUUUUACUUGCAGCAAGGGAGGGCUGAGCAAAAUGCAGUAGAACAGGGACAGAGACGGAGCUGGCAAUCAUCUCAAUGCAGGCUGAAUGGAGGGGGUGGAGGGGGGGAUGCCGCAAAGCAAGAUUAAUAACCUUGCCAUAAUCCCGUGCACCCAGGAAGGAGAUGCCUCUGGUGACCAGCCCGUCCCUCUCGUGAUUAAGUAGACUCAGUGAGUGAGUGGCUAGCAUGACACCUGGGGAUUUGAUUUGAUUUUUUUUCCGGGGAGGGGGGGCUGCCUUUGCUGUUCUUUGAAUUCUCUACCCAUCAGGGAAGGUAACAGUGAGACAUACCAUCUGCAGCAUACAGAGCAGCUCUCGCAGGCUACCAGUGACAGUUUUGCUCUCCAGUUUUGGUGGUAAGCAAGAAGAAGAUCCUGUGCAAGGGGAGGGGGGGAGAGAGAUUUCUCUUCCUUGGGCCACUGGUUUCCCUGCCUCCUCAUCUCCUACUUUUCCAGUGAUCUUUGCACCUGGACUUACUUUUGACAAAGUCUCUUGGACACCCUUUUUAUGGGGCUCGAUGAAUGGACCCUUUGACAACUAACUAAUUCUUGUGCUCCUGCAUGGUUUCAAAGAAUUCGGGUAAAGCCAGAGGAAUUUAAAAUUCUGUUGGAGAAGUUUUAAAGGGGAAACUAUCACAAAGAAAUGAAUUUCUCUCCUGCAAAGGAUCAUGGUGGCUUAGAGAUAUGGAGGCCAAUGAAGAUACCAUUUGACUGGAUAAACUGAAUACUGGGUCCACGUUGGGGGAGGUAAAAGAAAUACCUUUGAACAAUCUGAUGAGGAUAGCAACACAAAGGGAAAUAAAAUAAAAACAGCAAAUGGACUCCAUUUUGGAAAUUGGGGGAGCUGUGCAAUGAAGAAAAUCUCUGCACAGACAGGCUGUCUUGAUACAGUGAAACAAUGUGUCAAGAAAUUGCUGACCCCACUUGGAAAGAAGACAAGGAACUUUUCUUCAUCAGUGGGUUUUCCAAACUGUUGCAAAAUGUAACUGCACACAACUAGAUUUCCUUUUGUGAAAGAAACCACACAGAGAAAGACAGUC